AUUGACUUUUCCUCGCAUGCUUAUUGGUUGAAAGAAUUAUUGGUUUUAGAUGGACUCGCGGCCUAUCAGCUUGUUGGUGACGUAAUGGCUCACCAAGGCGACGACGGGUACCCGGCCUGAGAGGGUGACCGGCCACACUGGGACUGACACACGGCCCAGACUCCUACGGGAGGCAGCAGUGGGGAAUAUUGCACAGUGGGCGAAAGCCUGAUGCAGCGACGCCGCGUGAGGGAUGACGGCCUUCGGGUUGUAAACCUCUUUCAGUAGGGAACAAGGCCAGUGUUUAGCUGGUUGAGGGUACUUGCAGAAGAAGCGCCGGCUAACUACGUGCCAACAGCCGCGGUAAUACGUAGGGCGCAAGCGUUAUCCGGAAUUAUUGGGCGUAAAGAGCUCGUACGCGGUUUGUCGCGUCUGCCGUGAAAGUCCGGGGCUCAACCCCGGAUCUGCGGUGGGUACGGGCAGACUAGAGUGAUGUAGGGGAGACUGGAAUUCCUGGUGUAGCGGUGAAAUGCGCAGAUAUCAGGAGGAACACCGAUGGCGAAGGCAGGUCUCUGGGCAUUAACUGACGCUGAAGAGCGAAAGCAUGGGGAGCGAACAGGAUUAGAUACCCUGGUAGUCCAUGCCGUAAACGUUGGGCACUAGGUGUGGGGGACAUUCCACGUUUUCCGCGCCGUAUCUAACGCAUUAAGUGCCCCGCCUGGAGAGUACGGCCGCAAGGCUAACACUCAAAGGA
rnacentral:rRNA from 1 species